rnacentral:rRNA from 1 species
UAUUAAUAUAAACAAUAACUCCAACCAAUAAAUUAAAUCAUUCUAAAUAUCCUAGUAUGGGCGACAGAAAAGAUUCAACAAAGCAAUAGAAAAAGUACCGCAAGGGAAAGCUGAAAGAGAAAUGAAAUAAACCAUAUAAGUAUUAAAAAGCAGAGCUUAACCCUCGUACCUUUUGCAUCAUGAUUUAGCCAGUAUAAUAAAGCAAAGAGACCUUUAGUUUUACACCCCGAAACCAGGUGAGCUACCCCGAGACAGCCUAUUCAUUUAGGGCAAACUCAUCUCUGUGGCAAAAGAGUGAGAAGAGCUCCGGGUAGAAGUGACAGACCUACCGAACCUGGUGAUAGCUGGUUGUCUAAGAAAUGAAUAGAAGUUCAGCCUCGUAUACCCCAAAUUUAAAAUUUAAAAUUAAAAUUAAGAGCAACAUACGAAAGUUAGUUAAAAGGGGUACAGCCCUUUUAACACAGGAUACAACCUUUAAAGGAGAAUAAAGAUCAUAAUAAACAAAACAUAAUGUCCUAGUGGGCCUAAGAGCAGCCAUCUAAAUAAAAAGCGUUAAAGCUUAAACAAAAACAGUUCAUAAUACUGAUAAAAAAUCUUACUUCCCUAAAAGUACUAGACCAAUCCAUGCACCCAUGGAAGAAACUAUGCUAAAAUGAGUAACAAGAAGAACACAACCUUCUCCCCGCAUGAGUGUAAGUUAGAUUGGACCAACCACUAACAAUUAACGAACCCAAUAAAAGAGGGAAUUGUGAAUAUUAAACUAAAUAAGAUCUCACAACCAAUAAUCGUUAUCCCCACACUGGUAUGCAUAACAAGGAAAGACUAAAAGAAAGGGAAGGAACUCGGCAAACACAAGCCUCGCCUGUUUACCAAAAACACCGCCUCCUGCAAAAACAAAUAUAGGAGGUCCAGCCUGCCCAGUGACUUCAAGUUCAACGGCCGCGGUAUUCUGACCGUGCAAAGGUAGCGCAAUCACUCGUCCCUUAAAUAAGGUCCUGUAUGAAUGGCUAGACGAGGGCUUAACUGUCUCCCCCUUCAGGUCAGUGAAAUUGAUCUAUC